CAAAUACCUCUGCUGCUCUGUCUGCAUCCCUUCGAUGGCCGGGCUCAUCCUCCGGGGGCAUUAGACUCUCACUCCUGGUCCAGUUGGACACAACAGAUGUGUAGACGGAAAAGAAGGAGGUCCAUCCUCUGCAUGCGAGGAGCACUUCCCAGCACGUGCAUCCACUGAUGUGGUCAUCUAUCCUGUCUAACUCAGAAAGGACUGAUCUGGGUCGCGGGGGGCUGGAGCCUAUCCCAGCUAACAUUGGGCGAAAGGCAGGGGACACCCUGGACAGGUCGCCAGUCCAUCGCAGGGCAUCUGUCUUGAUAUUUAUUUAUAAUUUGUUUUUAGGUUUGUAAUCCUGUGUGAAAUAUUUUGUAUUGUGUGAUCAUGCCUUUUUAUGUGUUUUUUAUAUAUAUAUAUAUAUUUUUUUUUUUUUAUUUAUUUUUAUUUUUUUUAUUUUGCUUAUGUAAAGCGCUCUGAGAAUUAACUUUUAAAAGCGCUAUACAAAAUAAAGUUAUUAUUAUUAUUAUUAUUAUUAAAUCUGUUUGCUCUAAUAUUUUGACAUGUUUCCUCCAUUAACUUUUUCAAUUUUUUCUUGUAACACUACUGUGUGAAACAUAAUACAAAUAGCAGCAAUAUUAACAAUGUGAAAAGAUAAUUCUGUGCCACAAAUUAUUUGCAUUUGCUACACUGUAAAUUGAAAACUUAAUGUCUCAAUGUCUUGGCUAACUUUCAAAAAAGUAACUAUUAUAGUGUUUUGUUCAUGUUCCAACAAAUUUAGACAGCAUGUGUUUCUACAAAAUGUUAUGGGAAUAUUCAAGUACAAUAUUUGUGGAAAGAUUACCACAAAAUGUUUUUUUUUUUUAAACAUCUGGGUUACAGUGAGGCACUUACAAUGGAAGUGAAUGGGGCAGAUCUGUAAACAUUAAAAAAUUCACACUAGUUCAAAAGUAUAGCCAAGGACAUAAACAAUAUGCUUGUUAACAUGAUUGUAGUUUGAUAAAAUUGCUUAUUACCUUUUCUGCUUAAAGUGAUAUAAAAUUUUACAACUUCAUUGCCAUGUCGAUGUAACACCGUAAAAUAUGUUAUCCUGCGAAAAUGAUGAUUUAAACAACUUUGCAGCUUAAAUAAUUCACAUGUUUUAACAUUAGAAUGAAUUAAGUACUUUUAUAAAUUAUAAGCUUCACAUUUCUGUCUUUAAACCCUCCAAAAAUUGGCCCCAUUCACUUCUAUUGCAUAAGCCUCACUGUAUUAAUUUUUACUUAAUUUAAAAGAAAAGAAAAUACAAGUCAAGAUUAUUUUUUGUGGUUAUCAAAAUUGUGCUGCAAAGGCUGUUGAUUUGGCAUUUAUGACAAUUCAAAAUCUGAGUCAGAAAUACAAUUUACUUACACUGUCUAUUGUUUAAAUUCAUCAUGAGUGUUUCAAGGUUGAAUGAGACCUUUAAUGUUGUUGAAGUGAGUAUAUUUG